rnacentral:tRNA from 1 species
GGGGUUGUGGCUCAGUGGUAGAGCACUUGCCUAGCAGUGGGAGGCCCUGGGUUCUAUCCUCAGCACCACA